UACGAGAGCCUCGAGCGUUAUCCGGAAUUAUUGGGCGUAAAGGGUGCGUAGGUUGUUCUGUUAGUCUUUUGUCAAAGCCCCGGGCUUAACCUGGGAUACGCGAAAGAAACGGCAGAACUUGAAAGUGUGAGGGGUGUACGGAACUCAUGGUGUAGGGGUGAAAUCCGUUGAUAUCAUGGGGAACACCAAAAGCGAAAGCAGUACACUGGCGCAUAUUUGACACUGAAUGCACGAAAGCGUGGGUG
rnacentral:rRNA from 1 species